GACCCCAGGUSAGGCGGGGCUACCCGCUGAGUUUAA
rnacentral:rRNA from 1 species